CUCACCUGGAAACAAAGUCACAUGACUUUGGUAUGUUUUGUCGCUUUUGUAGUCACUUGCAAAGUAACCUUCAAUUAAUAAACUUCAUUUUUGUUAUUGCCUGUCUAUUUCUUGGACGUAUGUUUAAAAUGAAACACUUAUCAAUUGUUGGAGCAUCUUUUGUGUUACUUCUUAUCUUUUCAUGUGUUCUGGAAGAACAUGGAGUGGAAGCACAACCCCGGCACAGUGUAAAGGUACGCGAAUGUCAACGAUACUGUCGACCACCAUCGUCAACUUCUUUGUGCAACUAUUGUUGUAGAAAUACAUUUCCAAGGGACGACAUUGGAGAGUGCCAUUUUAACGCUUGUCAUUGUUGGGUUUGGUUAAUCUAGAUAUCAGCAUAUAUAAUAACCAAGACGUGACAUCAAUAAAACAAAAUUGUUUUUCAUUUAGAA